rnacentral:rRNA from 1 species
UACAGAGGUCCCAAGCGUUGUUCGGAUUUACUGGGCGUAAAGGGAGCGUAGGUGGCAUUCCAAGUCUGAUGUGAAAGCUCUGAGCUUAACUCAGAAAUGGCAUUAGAUACUAGUUUGCUUGAGGAUUGGAGGGGAGAUUGGAAUACUUGGUGUAGCAGUGAAAUGCGUAGAUAUCAAGUGGAACACCAGUGGCGAAGGCGAAUCUCUGGACAAUUCCUGACACUGAUGCUCGAAAGCUAGGGGAGCAAACGGG